rnacentral:rRNA from 1 species
CACGUAGGGUGCGAGCGUUGUCCGGAAUUAUUGGGCGUAAAGAGCUCGUAGGCGGUGUGUCGCGUCGGCCGUGAAAACUUGCAGCUUAACUGUGGGCGUGCGGUCGAUACGGGCAUCACUGGAGUUCGGCAGGGGAGACUGGAAUUCCUGGUGUAGCGGUGAAAUGCGCAGAUAUCAGGAGGAACACCGGUGGCGAAGGCGGGUCUCUGGGCCGAUACUGACGCUGAGGGCACGAAAGCGUGGGGAGCAAACAGG